UUUUGGAGCGGGCUAUCUGCUAUCAGCUAGUUGGUGAGGUAACGGCUCACCAAGGCUAUGACGGCUAGCUGGUCUGAGAGGACGACCAGCCACAUUGGCACUGAGACACUGGCCAGACUCCUACGGGGGGCUGCAGCAACGAAUCUUCCCCAAUGCCGGAAACGGUGAGGGAGCGACGCCGCGUGAAGGACGAAGUUCUUCGGAAUGUAAACUUAUGUAAGGGUCAUGAAAGGCGAGCGCCUAACACGCGCAAAGCUUGAUCUGACCCCUAAAAGGGGCGGCUAACUCUGUGCCAGCAGCCGCGGUAAUACAGAGGCCCCAAGCGUUACUGAGAAUCACUGGGUUUAAAGGGUGCGUAGGUGGCGCGUUAAGUCCGUUGUGAAAUCCCUGUGCUCAACGCAGGAAAUGCUUCGGAUACUGGCGUGCUUGAGGCUAGUAGAGGUCACUAGAACUGACGGUGGAGCGGUGAAGUGCGUAGAUAUCGUCAGGAAUGCCGGUGGUGAAGACGGGAGACUGGGCUAGUUCUGACACUGAGGCACGAAAGCGUGGGGAGCGAACGGGAUUAGAUACCCCGGUAGUCCACGCCGGUAAACGAUGCAGACUAGAUUGCAGCGGGUUACACCACGUUGCGGUCGUAGCGAAAUUGUUAAGUCUGCCACCUGGGAAGGACGGUCGCAAGGCUAAAACUCAAAGGAAA
rnacentral:rRNA from 1 species